CCUACGGGUGGCUGCAGUCGAGAAUCUUCGGCAAUGGGCGAAAGCCUGACCGAGCGACGCCGCGUGCGGGAUGAAGGCCCUCGGGUUGUAAACCGCUGUCGUAGGGGAGGAAGGCUCCGUGAAGAGCGGGGUUUGACCUAUCCUAGGAGGAAGUACGGGCUAAGUUCGUGCCAGCAGCCGCGGUAAUACGAACCGUACAAACGUUAUUCGGAAUCACUGGGCUUAAAGGGUGCGUAGGCGGCCAUGUAAGUGAGGUGUGAAAUCCCUCGGCUCAACCGAGGAACUGCGCUUCAUACUGCAUGGCUUGAGGGAGACAGGGGUCAGCGGAACUGAUGGUGGAGCGGUGAAAUGCGUUGAUAUCAUCAGGAACACCGGUGGCGAAAGCGGCUGACUGGGUCUCUUCUGACGCUGAGGUACGAAAGCUAGGGGAGCGAACGGGA
rnacentral:rRNA from 1 species